GUCUACGGCCACACCACCCUGAGUGCACCCGAUCUUGUCUGAUCUCGGAAGCUAAGCAGGGUCGGGCCUGGUUAGUACUUGGAUGGGAGGAGUCCUUCAUAUAUUCUAGAUG
ensembl:rRNA 5S_rRNA 5S ribosomal RNA